rnacentral:rRNA from 1 species
GUUAGUGGCGGACGGGUGAGUAACGCGUGGAGAACCUGCCGUAUACUGGGGGAUAACACUUAGAAAUAGGUGCUAAUACCGCAUAAGCGCACAGCUUCGCAUGAAGCAGUGUGAAAAACUCCGGUGGUAUACGAUGGAUCCGCGUCUGAUUAGCUGGUUGGCGGGGUAACAGCCCACCAAGGCGACGAUCAGUAGCCGGCCUGAGAGGGUGAACGGCCACAUUGGGACUGAGACACGGCCCAAACUCCUACGGGAGGCAGCAGUGGGGAAUAUUGCACAAUGGGGGAAACCCUGAUGCAGCGACGCCGCGUGAGUGAAGAAGUAUUUCGGUAUGUAAAGCUCUAUCAGCAGGGAAGAAAAUGACGGUACCUGACUAAGAAGCCCCGGCUAACUACGUGCCAGCAGCCGCGGUAAUACGUAGGGGGCAAGCGUUAUCCGGAUUUACUGGGUGUAAAGGGAGCGUAGACGGCAGCGCAAGUCUGAAGUGAAAUCCCAUGGCUUAACCAUGGAACUGCUUUGGAAACUGUGCAGCUGGAGUGCAGGAGAGGUAAGCGGAAUUCCUAGUGUAGCGGUGAAAUGCGUAGAUAUUAGGAGGAACACCAGUGGCGAAGGCGGCUUAUUGGACUGUAACUGACGUUGAGGCUCGAAAGCGUGGGGAGCAAACAG